rnacentral:rRNA from 1 species
UUGGGGCUAAUCCGCGAAUAGAUGUGAUGUCCUGGAAUGGUAUUACGUCUAAAGGUAUUUCAUACAUGUUUGAUAUACGCCUAAGGAUGGGACUGCGGCUGAUCAGGCAGUUGGUGAGGUAAUGGCUCACCAAACCAUUGACCAGUACGGGCCAUGAGAGUGGUAGCCCGGAGAUGGACACUGAGACAAGGGUCCAGGCCCUACGGGGCGCAGCAGGCGCGAAACCUCCUCAAUGCACUAACGUGCGAAGGGGUUACCUCGAGUGCUAUCUGAUGAAGGUGGCUUUUCCAUGGUCUAAAAAGCCUAGGGAAUAAGAGGGGGGCAAGACUGGUGUCAGCCGCCGCGGUAACACCAGCCCCUCGAGUGGUGGGGAUGAUUAUUUGGCCUAAAGCGUCCGUAGCCUGCCGGAUAAGUUCCCCGUUAAAUCCAACGUCUCAAGCGUUGGACUGCGGGAAAUACUGUCUGGCUAGAGAGUGGGAGAGGUCAGCGGUAUUCUGGGGGUAGGGGCGAAAUCCUUUGAUCCCCGGAGGACCACCAGUGGCGAAGGCUGCUGACUAGAACACGUCUGACGGUCAGGGACGAAAGCUGGGGUAGCGAACCGGAUUAGAUACCCGGGUAGUCCCAGCCGUAAACGAUGCAUGCUAGGUGUUGGGUUGGCCACGAGCCACCCCAGUGCCGCAGGGAAGCCGUUAAGCAUGCCGCCUGGGAAGUACGGUCGCAAGAUUGAAACUUAAAGGAAUUGGCGGGGGAGCACCACCAGGCGUGAAGCCUGCGGUUUAAUUGGAGUCAACGCCGGG